rnacentral:rRNA from 1 species
AGUGAACGCUGGCGGCGUGCUUAACACAUGCAAGUCGAACGAGAAACGGAUUUAGCUUGCUAAAUUGCAGUCUAAGUGGCGCACGGGUGAGUAAUGUAUAGGUAAUAUGCCUCUUACUAAGGGAUAACAAUUGGAAACGAUUGCUAAUACCUUAUAUGCCUUUAAUACGGAAGUAUGCAAGGGAAAGAUUUAUUGGUAAGAGAUUAGCCUGUAUGGUAUCAGUUGGUUGGUGAGGUAAUGGCUCACCAAGACAAUGACGCCUAACUGGUUUGAGAGGAUGAUCAGUCACACUGGAACUGAGACACGGUCCGGACUCCUACGGGAGGCAGCAGUGGGGAAUAUUGCACAAUGGACGAAAGUCUGAUGCAGCAACGCCGCGUGGAGGAUGACACAUUUCGGUGCGUAAACUCCUUUUAUAUAGGAAGAUAAUGACGGUACUAUAUGAAUAAGCACCGGCUAACUCCGUGCCAGCAGCCGCAGUAA